rnacentral:rRNA from 1 species
UACCAGCUCUCCGAGUGGUAGGGAUGUUUAUUGGGCUUAAAGCGUCCGUAGCCGGCUUAGCAAGUCUCCUGUUAAAUUCAGCGACCUAAUCGUUGAGCCGCGGGAGAUACUACUAGGCUAGGAGGCGGGAGAGGUCAACGGUACUUCCGGGGUAGGGGUGAGAUCCUAUAAUCCCGGGAGGACCACCAGUGGCGAAGGCUGUUGACUAGAACGCGCUCGACGGUGAGGGACGAAAGCUGGGGGAGCGAACCGGAUUAGAUACCCGGGUAGUCCCAGCUGUAAACGAUGCGAGCUAGGUGUUGGGGUGGCUACGUGCCACUUCAGUGCCGCAGGGAAGCCAUUAAGCUCGCCGCCUGGGGAGUACGGCCGCAAGGCUGAAACUUAAAGGAAUUGGCGGGGGAGCACCACAAGGCGUGAAGCUUGCGGUUC